AGAACAAUUAUUAUGUAGUACAUCUACCAUAUCUAAUGACUGUAAUAUUGCAACAGUUACAAAAAAUGAUACUACAUUGUCAGUUUUUAAAGAAAUUUUAAGAUGUCAACAAGAAAUGAAAACC